AUUGAACGCUGGCGGCAUGCCUUACACAUGCAAGUCGAACGGUAACAGGGAGCUUGCUCCGCUGACGAGUGGCGAACGGGUGAGUAAUGUAUCGGAACGUACCUUUCAGUGGGGGAUAACGUAGCGAAAGUUACGCUAAUACCGCAUAUUCUGUGAGCAGGAAAGCAGGGGAUCGCAAGACCUUGCGCUGAUUGAGCGGCCGAUAUCAGAUUAGCUAGUUGGUGAGGUAAAGGCUCACCAAGGCGACGAUCUGUAGCGGGUCUGAGAGGAUGAUCCGCCACACUGGAACUGAGACACGGUCCAGACUCCUACGGGAGGCAGCAGUGGGGAAUUUUGGACAAUGGGGGCAACCCUGAUCCAGCCAUGCCGCGUGAGUGGAGAAGGCCUUCGGGUUGUAAAGCUCUUCCGGCCGGGAAGAAAUCGCAUGGGUUAAUACCCUGUGCGGAUGACGGUACCGGCAUAAGAAGCACCGGCUAACUACGUGCCAGCAGCCGCCGUAAUAC
rnacentral:rRNA from 1 species